rnacentral:rRNA from 1 species
UACGGAGGGUGCAAGCGUUGUUCGGAAUUAUUGGGCGUAAAGGGCGCGUAGGCGGUAAUGUAAGUCAGAUGUGAAAUACUUCGGCUCAACUGAAGAACUGCAUCUGAAACUACAUAACUAGAGUACAGAAGAGGGAAACGGAAUUCCCGGUGUAGAGGUGAAAUUCGUAGAUAUCGGGAGGAACACCAGUGGCGAAGGCGGUUUCCUGGUCUGAUACUGACGCUGAGGCGCGAAAGUGUGGGGAGCAAACAGG